rnacentral:misc_RNA from 1 species
UGGCUCUCCCAUCGAUGAAGAACGCAGCGAAAUGCGAUAAGUAAUGUGAAUUGCAGAAUUCAGUGAAUCAUCGAAUCUUUGAACGCACCUUGCACCCAUUGGUAUUCCGAUGGGUACGCCUGUUUGAGUGUCAGUAAAUUCUCAAUCCUUAUGACUUUAUUGCUUGUAAGGGUUGGAUGUGAGGGUUAUUGCUGGCUUCCUUCAAUGCGAUGGUCAGCUCCCUUUAAAUGCAUUAGUGGAAUCCUUUGUGGAUCAUCACCGGGUGUGAUAAUAUAUCUACGCUCACCGAUGUUGAAGCAAUACUAUGGUGUUCUGCUCAUAACCGUUCAUUAGCUUGAACAAACAGUGUGUCUUUGCGGGCAUACAAACUGACAAUUUGACCUCAAAUCAGGUGGGACUACCCGCUGA